rnacentral:rRNA from 1 species
UACGUAGGGGGCAAGCGUUGUCCGGAUUUAUUGGGCGUAAAGAGCGUGUAGGCGGCUUUACAGGUCCGUUGUGAAAACUCGAGGCUCAACCUCGAGCUGUCGGUGGAAACCGUAAGGCUAGAGUCCGGAAGAGGAGAGUGGAAUUCCUGGUGUAGCGGUGAAAUGCGCAGAUAUCAGGAAGAACACCCGUGGCGAAGGCGGCUCUCUGGGACGGUACUGACGCUGAGACGCGAAAGCGUGGGGAGCGAACAGG